AGCGAACGCUGGCGGCAGGCCUAACACAUGCAAGUCGAACGAACCUUUCGGGGUUAGUGGCGGACGGGUGAGUAACACGUGGGAACGUGCCUUUAGGUUCGGAAUAACUCAGGGAAACUUGUGCUAAUACCGAAUGUGCCCUUCGGGGGAAAGAUUUAUCGCCUUUAGAGCGGCCCGCGUCUGAUUAGCUAGUUGGUUGAGGUAAUGGCUCACCAAGGCGACGAUCAGUAGCUGGUCUGAGAGGAUGAUCAGCCACAUUGGGACUGAGACGGCCCAAACUCCUACGGGAGGCAGCAGUGGGGAAUCUUGCGCAAUGGGCGAAAGCCUGACGCAGCCAUGCCGCGUGAAUGAUGAAGGUCUUAGGAUUGUAAAAUUCUUUCACCGGGGACGAUAAUGACGGUACCCGGAGAAGAAGCCCCGGCUAACUUCGUG
rnacentral:rRNA from 1 species